UACGGGGGGGGGCAAGCGUUGUUCGGAAUUACUGGGCGUAAAGGGCUCGUAGGCGGCCAACUAAGUCAGACGUGAAAUCCCUCGGCUUAACCGGGGAACUGCAUCUGAUACUGGAUGGCUUGAGUUCGGGAGAGGGAUGCGGAAUUCCAGGUGUAGCGGUGAAGUGCGUAGAUAUCUGGAGGAACACCGGUGGCGAAGGCGGCAUCCUGGACCGACACUGACGCUGAGGAGCGAAAGCCAGGGAAGCAAACGGGG
rnacentral:rRNA from 1 species